UAAAUUUGAUUCUGGUUUUCAAGGUUAGCUGUUAUGAUGGUUUUAAACAUGUAAGUUUUUGUGUUUUAUUGGAUUAAAUGAAUUUUAAUAAUUUUAGUCUUGAAUUGUGUAGCAGUUUUUAUUUUUAUAUAUUAAGUAAUUUUAGAUAUAGCUAAUUUUUUAUAUUAACUAGCAAAGAUUGUGCCAGCAGCUGCGGUUAUACAUUCUAGUUGAAGUUAAUCUUUUUAGGAUAAUUAUUUUAUUUUUAUUAAUUGAAAUUUAUAUGUUUAAAUUUUAAAGUGAAAUUUUAAAUUUUAUUUAUUAUUUGGGUAAUUAUAUAUUAUAAGAAAUUCUUUGUUUAGACUAGGAUUAGAUACCCUAUUAUUUUGAAUGUAAAUUUUAUUCUUAAUACUAAAAGUUAUGAUCUUUAAAUUGAAAGAAUUUGACGGUAAUUUUAAUCAUUUUAGAGGAACCUGUUCUGUAAUCGAUAAUCCACGAUAAAUUUUACCUUUAUUUUUUUGUUUGUAUAUCUCUGUCUGAUUGAAUGUUUUAUUAGGAUUAAUUUUCUACAAUUCUUGUUUUUGGAAUUUAUGUCAGGUCAAGGUGCAGCUAUAUAAAGGGUUGAAAUGGGUUACAUUUAUUUUUAUAUUGGUUAUGAAGUAUUUAUUUAUUUUGUAUAAAUUGGAUUUAAUGGUAAUAUUGCAUAUAUAUGCAAUAUGAUAUAUGUUCUUGAUUAAGUACACAUCGCCCGUCGCUCUCAUUAUUAAGGUGAGAUAAGUCGUAACAAAGUAGUUCUAUCGGAAGAUGGAGCUGGAUUUAUA
rnacentral:ncRNA from 1 species